CAGACUGAGAAAAAACGCAACUUUAAAAAAAAACCCUGUAAAAGACUGAUGCAGGCUGUUACAGAUCACUAGCUGUGAGAGUGAAGUGCGCAUGCGAGAAUCGAAUAUGAAAGUGUAAAAGGUGAAGCUUCAGCGGCACGGAGCGGAGUGGAGCAAACUGAGUUUUCAACCUUCACACGCUACAGCUGAACUGUCACUUCCACUCGUCUUUGUGGUUUCAUAAAAAGUUUUAACAUGCUGAAGAGCAAUCUCACUGGCAUGACAUAUCCGCACAGCUUCAUUCAAGGACAGGAAUAGAAGCCACCACACCACAGCUUGACUUCUGCUUCGUAAGCCACACACCCCACUGAGAGAGCGCUACCAUGGUGGGUGAUUAUCCUGAUAGUGUUUGGGCUGCUGCUUGUUGUGCUGCUUGUGAUAAUCUGGUACCAGAGGAAACAAGUUCAUUGCUGCCAAAGAGAUGAACUUGUACAGAGGAGCAGCAGUGGAGCAGGAAGACAUCAGAGCUGGAAUGGUACCUCAGCAACGACUAACCUACGAGAGAACCAAAUGAUGAUGGAGCAGGAGGAGAACCGAAUGAUGUUGGAGCAGGAGGAGAACCGAAUGAUGUUGGAGCAAGAGGAGAACCGAAUGAUGCUGGAGCAGGGGGAGAACCUGAAGCUCAAACAUAAGAAUGGAGUAACAGAGGGAAGAGACUUAUAACUUCAUACAGCAUGUUUGGAUUAUUUUCUGUUUUGCAUCGUUGUUUCUGCUCUGACUUUCUUCAGAAGUGCUCAGGUUUGUGAACCCUGCAAGCUCAUGUUUUUCCCACCUGUCUGUUGUGAUUCCUCUCCCUGUGAGCUGCUCCAUGUCAGUCUGAGCUGCUCAGUAACUUUCCCACUAGCUGGGACUGAUCAGUGUUUACUGGGUGUGUCCUCAUACACACGUGUUCACUAGCUGGGACUGAUCAGUGUUUACUGGGUGUGUCCUCACACACACGUGUGAGUCUAGGAAUUGGUGGUACAGCCGGUGGUGUCAUAGAGGAGAUCCACAUCUGCUCCCUGCAGACUCUCCACUGGUGUCCCACAAGGCUCAGUACUUGAUCCUCUCCUGUUCUCCCUCUAUACUCAAUCUCUUGGUGCGGUCAUAUCCUCACAUGGGUUUUCAUACCACUGCUACUGCCACUCAACUCCUCCUCUCCUUCCCUCCCUCAGACAAACAAAUGCAGAAAAACACAAAUAAACUUGUAUGUUUUUAUUUUGGGAAAUAAUUUUUGCUGGGGCUUUUUACUAGGAACAUCAGAAAAUAUUUAAAACAUUUAUCCUUUUAUUUAAUGUUAUACUUUACUCUGUCUUUAUUCAAAUGUAGAUUAAGUCUGCAGCUGCUUCAUUAUUGCAUCUGUAAAAGAAGCAGAAGACCUCCACUGUGGUUUCAGCACUGGCACUUUGGACCUGCUGAGUUUUAUUAAAGCCAACACAAGAUUUCAGACUGUGAUGUUAUUUCACCUGUGCUGUGAGAUCACAUCUGAUAUAAACCCAGACUGGCCAGAUUUCACUCAGUUCAAUUUUAUUUAUAUAGUGAUUUUUAACGAUGGACAUUGUGCUAAAGCAGCUUUACAGAAAUGCAGGUCUGGUUUUAGAUCCUUAAUGAACAAGCCAGAGGAGACAGUGGUGAAGGAAAACCCCCUGAGACAACAUGAGGAAGAAACCUUGAGAGGAACCAGACUCUAAAAGUAAGCCAUCCUCUGUUGGGAGACAGAUGAUCUGAUCAGUGAUCAGCACAUUCACUGGUAAAACCUCGUGUCCAGGGGCAGGGCUAGUGCACAGGAAGAGUGUUGAAGUGGAAUUGUGCAUCUACACUGGGACAGAGUCACUCUGAAACAGCACAGCUUUAAAACACCAGCAGCUGGUUGCAGCUGUAGACCAUAAGCUCCAUCACAGCUUAGUGUGAACGUAAACGACUGCUACGUUUGAGUUCACCAACUACUAAAAAAAUUACAGUCCCAGCAAGUACAGUAGCAUACCUAAAAACUUACACCUGCCCGCUAGUAAUGCAGCGUCUGCCCUAAACAAAACUACUCACUAACUCUGUUCAGUGUAAAAAGUGCAGGUUUACUGACUAUAAAUACAGUGUUUUAUUUUGUAAGGAGUGUAAUGAUGUCUUUAUGGGGAGAUAUUUUUGUGCUCUCUGAUCACCAGUCAUGGCCAUCUCACUGAAACACACUAUAAUCGUAACGGAUGAGAGGAUAAACAACAAACAGACUAUUUUUAUAAUCAGGAGCCGUAACGAGCUCUGAAGUGACAAUGCAAAAUAUCACGGGUCAGAUUGGAGUUUAUUGGUAAGGAACAUCAAAAACCCUGCUUUCGCUUGGAGAUCACGAGUUUAAGUCCCCACAAUGCCACAGCCAUUCGUGGCCAAGAGUACAAGAGGGCUAAACUGGCUGUGCUCUCUGGGUGCAAAUAAUAAGCCAUAAAGAAAGAGAAUAUUUAUAUGGAACAAGAAGUGAUGAAGAAGUGAUAUUAAUAUCUGAAAGGAAUAAACUGUAUGACUGGCAGCUGAAGUCACUGGAGUCUGAACCACACAGAUCAUUACACAUCAGGAGUAACGGUACCGACGCGCACCACGCAGGACUAUACGGGAGUAACGGUACCGACGCGCACCACGCGGGACUAUACGGGAGUAACGGUACCGACGCACACCACGCAGGACUAUACAGGAGUAACGGUACCGAUGCGCACCACGCAGGACUAUACAGGAGUAAGGGUACCGACGUGCACCACGCGGGACUAUACGGCAAUAACGGUACCGACGCGCACCACACGGGACUAUAGAGGUGUAAGGGUACCGACACGGAACACGCGGGACUAUACGGGAGUAAGGGUACCGACGCACACCACGGGGGACUAUACGGGAGUAAGGGUACCGACACACACCACGCAGGACUAUACGGGAGUAACGGUACCGACGCGCACCACGCGGGACUAUACCGGAGUAAGGGUACCGACGCGCACCACGCAGGACUAUACAGGAAUAACGGUACCGACACACACUCUUGCUGCAGGACUAUACGGGAGUAACGGUACCGACACACACCACGCGGGACUAUACAGGAGUAAGGGUACCGACGCGCACCACGCAGGACUAUACGGGAGUAACGGUACCGAAGCGCACCACGCGGGACUAUACAGGAGUAAGGGUAUACACUAUACACUAUACAAUGACACGCUCUCUCACGUGCAUUCAGCCCAAACCACUGGCCUGCUUCAAGGGCGACUGCACUGUCUGGAUGUAGGAGACUGCUACAGGUGGAAGAUUGCUUCAGGUGUCAUCAUGCAGGUUCAGCAGCAGGUUCUUGUUCGGCAGAUGUUUGUUUUGUCUCCUUUGCUCUGAAGUUUGAAGAAAACACAAAGAGAAGGGAAAUAGGACAUUACUCCAUUGUCACCUGAAGAACAGGAGCAAGAGACACAGUCUCGCACUGAUACUUUUCAAGCAGCGCCGCCGGUGUCCUGUGCAUCAUUCCAGUGCUGUCACGUCACUUGACAACAGAACGAACGACGGGAGUAACGGUACCGACAUGCAGCACGCAGGAGGAGCUUCAGCAUACAGGAGGAACUUCAGCACGCAGGAGGAGCUUCAGCAUACAGGAGGAACUUCGGCACGCAGGAGGAGCUUCGGCACGCAGGAGGACCGAGUGUUUAACCUUCACACGGGAUUCCCUCGUUGCGUUGUUGUUUGUAAGGAGUUUCCGGCGAUGUUGACUGGUCGGCGGUCUGGUUGGCGUUAUGUAGCGUCUCGAAAGACCAAUGAGGAAGAUAAACAGAGUGAGGCGUGAACCCGGCGGAGUCUCGUAGGCGGGUUGCUAAACUUUGAAGAACCCUAACCCUGGUUCACAGCGGUGAGAAGGCGAGAGUUGGAGGCUUUGCAGGACCCAGUCUGGAUGCGGAGUCUCGGAGCAAGCGUGAUGUCCUCGUGAUCUCCUCGUGAUGACAAGGGGUAAGAACUUCUAAAGCUCUUGGUUGAUGAGACUUCCUUCAGAUGUGGAUGGAGACUCACUUGAGCUGCUUCAUUCACUUGAGAAUGCUCUGAUUUUUACCGAGACCUGGCUCUCAGAGAAAGUACCGGAAUCCUCUGUUCAGCUACAGUCUCACUCCUUACACCGAGGAGGUGUGUGUGUGUUUAUCAACAACUCGUGGUGUGGAGACAUACAGACUGUUUAUAAGCACUGCUCGCCAGAUGUGGAGUUUUUAUUGCUGAAAUGCCGUCCCUAUUAUCUACCAAGGGAAUUCACCGCUGUGUUUGUAGCCGCUGUUUACUGCUCCUGACACUGCGAGUAAUCUCACUGCUCCUCCUGACGCACAACAUGAGGACUCAACUUCUUAGAUCGACCCUUGCGAGGGCUGUUCUGAGUGGAACCCAUCUUGGAAAACCUCUGUAUGACUCUGGCCACUGUACUGUAACUCAGUUUCAGGGUGUUACCGAUCUUCUUAUAGCCUAGGCCAUCUUUGUGGAGAGCAACAAUUCUAAUUCUCAAAUCCUCAGAGAGUUCUUUGGCAUGAGGCGCCAUGUUCAACAUGCAGUGGUCAGUAUGAGAGAAUUGUACUCAAAGCACCAAAUUUUAACUGCUCCAAUACAAGAUACACAAAUUUGUAUGGUCCUGUCAAGGAGACAAAAACAUGAACAUGAUGAAUAGGACAUGUGGCUUUGCAUGGUUAAACGACGUACAGCCGUUAUCACUCAGGGUGUACUCACUUAUGUUGCCAGCUAUUUUGACAAUAAUGGCUGUAUGUUAAGUCAUUUUUACAUGACAAUAAAUCUAUACUGCUAUACAAGCAGCACAUUGACUACUCUAAAAUAUAUCCAAAUUUCAUUUCUAUAGUAUUGUCCCUUGAGAAGAUAUACUAAAAUGGUUGCUGAAAUGUGAGGGGUGUACUCAAUUUUGUGAGAUCUUUAAACUUCAAUCGAUAUUGCCAUUUUUUAGCCUGUAUACUCACAGAUACUAUGAAUUGUUGUGUGUUUGUUUUGUUACUGAUCUAUUUAAAAUAAUCGUUUUGUAGAAAGUUAAGGUGCUUUGGGUGUGUAGCAGCUUGCUGUG